rnacentral:rRNA from 1 species
UUUCGCAAUGCCCGAAAGGGUGACGAAGCGACGCCGCGUGUGGGAAGAAGGCUCUAGGGUUGUAAACCACUGUCAGGAGUUAAGAAAUGUAAAGGUGUUAAUAGCGCCUUUAUUUGACGAAGGCUCCAGAGGAAGCCACGGCUAACUCUGUGCCAGCAGCCGCGGUAAUACAGAGGUGGCAAGCGUUGUUCGGAAUUAUUGGGCGUAAAGAGCACGUAGGCGGUCCUGCAAGUCUGUUGUGAAAUCCUUCCGCUUAACGGGAGAACGGCAGCUGAUACUACAGGACUAGAGUACGGGAGGGGAGAGUGGAACUUCUGGUGGAGCGGUGAAAUGCGUAGAUAUCAGAAGGAACGCCGGCGGCGAAAGCGGCUCUCUGGCCUAUGUCUGACACUGAGUGUGCGAAAGCUAGGGGAGCAAACGGGAUUAGAUACCCCGGUAGUCCUAGCCGUAAACGAUGGGCACUAAGUAGAGGGGUUUU